rnacentral:rRNA from 1 species
GAUGAACGCUGGCGGCGUGCCUGAUACAUGCAAGUCGAGCGAACGGACGAGAAGCUUGCUUCUCUGAUGUUAGCGGCGGACGGGUGAGUAACACGUGGAUAACCUACCUAUAAGACUGGGAUAACUUCGGGAAACCGGAGCUAAUACCGGAUAAUAUUUUGAACCGCAUGGUUCAAAAGUAAAAGACGGUCUUGCUGUCACUUAUAGAUGGAUCCGCGCUGCAUUAGCUAGUUGGUAAGGUAACGGCUUACCAAGGCAACGAUGCAUAGCCGACCUGAGAGGGUGAUCGGCCACACUGGAACUGAGACACGGUCCAGACUCCUACGGGAGGCAGCAGUAGGGAAUCUUCCGCAAUGGGCGAAAGCCUGACGGAGCAACGCCGCGUGAGUGAUGAAGGUCUUCGGAUCGUAAAACUCUGUUAUUAGGGAAGAACAUAUGUGUAAGUAACUGUGCACAUCUUGACGGUACCUAAUCAGAAAGCCACGGCUAACUACGUG